UACAGAGGGGGCAAGCGUUGUUCGGAAUUACUGGGCGUAAAGGGCGCGUAGGCGGCCCGCUAAGUCGAACGUGAAAUCCCCGGGCUCAACCCGGGAACUGCGUCCGAUACUGGUGGGCUCGAAUCCGGGAGAGGGAUGCGGAAUUCCAGGUGUAGCGGUGAAAUGCGUAGAUAUCUGGAGGAACACCGGUGGCGAAGGCGGCAUCCUGGACCGGUAUUGACGCUGAGGCGCGAAAGCCAGGGGGCGAACAGGAGGU
rnacentral:rRNA from 1 species